ACGCCGCAGGGGCGGGGAUGGGCCCUGGAAGGCGUGGCCCCUCCCCUAGCCCGCCUUCCCACGCGGUCUCUGGGCUGGUUGAGCUGCGCCGCUGCAGGUAGUGCUGAGUUGCUCCAGUGCCACUGGGUUAGGGUCUCCACAACCGAGCUGGUCUCAGCAAGUGGUGUCCAUACAUGGGGCUCGAACCUGGGUUGAAGGGUCGCCAGAGCGACGGUUGGAGAACGUGGAACUAAGCUGGAGGACACCUGAGUACUCUUAAGCAAUCCCCGUGGACCAAAUCAACUGCCAAUUUGGAUAUCAUCGAGGCACCUGAAACCUUAUCAUGAGCCUGAUGCUGAGGAAUAGAUUCUGGGAGGAUCCCGAGGAUCCCCUGGUUGCAGCCAUGUUGAGACUGACGCUGAGGGGGACCCCAACUGUCACGAGCAACACCCAUCGAACGCAGCCACCUACCUGGGGACAGAUCAAGAAGCUGUCACAGAUGGCAGAAGAAAACCUAAGGAAAGUGGGACAACCAGUCACAAUGAGUAAUUUAAUGAUAGCUAUGAUAGUGGUGAUCACCAUUGCCAUGAGUAUUCCUUCAACAAGGGCUGGCACAGAGGACAAUUAUACUUAUUGGGCGUAUUUAUCAAUCUUGGCUGGCAAUAAUGCCUGGAUGUAAUCACUCUAUGACACAGUUACACAUGCUUUCUGGUCUCCGUAUUUACCAUAAUAAAUCUGCUCCUGUAAUUGAGGUAUACUGCCCUCAAAAACCUAUUUGUAAACAGAAUUGGACCUGGCUAGAAAUAAUGAAUGUAUUUGUUUGGGAAGAUUGCAUUGCAAAACAGGCAGAGGUGCUGUGCAACAAUUCCCGUGGAAUCAUUAUUGAUUGGUCCCCUAAGGGGAUGUUUAGCUUGAAUUGCACCUGUCAGUCUGUGUGCCACAGCCACACUAUGUUCAGCUGGUCUGAACAAAAUGGUCAAAUGGUAGAAAUGGUAAGAAGUAUGGCAAGAGUUCCUAUUAUUUGAAAACAUGGUGGUAUAGUGGCACCUCAACCUCAAAUGAUAUGGCCCGCUCUAGGAGCUUAACAUAAGGAUUUGUGGAAACUAUUAAUGGCUCUUAAUAAGAUCAAAAUUUGGGAGAGAGUAAAAAAGCAUCUAGAAGGACACUCUACAAACUUGUCUUUGGAUAUUGCAAAAUUAAAAGAACAAAUAUUUAAAGCAUCCCAGGCACACCUGACCUUAAUGCCAGAAAUAGGAGUGCUUGAAGGAGUGUAGACAGAUUAGCAGGUAGUAACCCAUUAAAAUAGAUAAAAACACUUGGAAGCUCUGUGAUUUCAAUGAUGAUGGUGCUUUUAAUCUGUGUUGUUUGUCUUUGUAUAGUCUGCAGCUCCCGACUCCUGCAAGAAGUAGCUCACCAUGAUAAAGCCACCUUUGCAUUUAUCAUCUUGCAAAAACAAAAAGGGGGAACAUGUUGGGAACAGGCCCCCAAAUCUGGCCAUAAACUGGCCCCAAAACUGACCAUAAACAAAAUCUCUGCAGCACUGUGACAUGUUCGUGAUGGCUAUGACACCCACCCUGAAGGUUGUGGGUUUACUGUAAUGAGGGCAAGGAACACCUGGCCCACCCAGGGCAGAAAACUGCUUAAGGCGUUCCUAAGCCACAGACAAUAGCAUGAGUGAUCUAUGCAUUAAGGACAUGUUCCUGCUGCAGAUAACUAGCCCAACCCAUCCUUUUGUUUUGGCCCAUCCCUUUGUUUCCUGUAAGGAAUGCUUUUAGUUAAUCUGUAAUCUAUAGAAACAAUGGUUAUCACUGGCUUGCUGUCAGUAAAUAUGUGGGUUAAACUCUGUUUGGGGCUCUCAGAUCUGAAGGCUGUCAGCCCCCUGGAUUUCCCACUCCACACUCUAUAGUUCUGUGUGUGUGUGUGUGUGUGUGUGUGUGUGUGUGUUUCUUUAAUUCCUCUAGUGCUGCUGGGUUAGGGUCUCCACGACUGAGCUAGUCUCAGCAGUAUAAAAAUCAGAAUAUUAAUUUGGCAACAUUUGGUAAUAUCAAUGCAGAAUAUUUAUCAGAAAUCAAAUGUUAUCACCAAAAAUCUACUCUACUUUGUUAUCCAGGAGAUGCAAUACAAAACCCAUUAAUUAAAACAUUAACAGAUACUAUUAAAAUACUUUGGGAUAAGGUCAGAAAUGCUAAAUGUUACUUAUUAUUUUAGACACAUUACCUGAUGCGAGGCAUAUAGUGCAGAUGAUUAUGGUUAGAGUUGUGAUUUUCUAAACUCAAAUACUUCUAUAUGUGAACAUUUUUGGGAGAUUUUUGUCACAACUGGAGAAAGAUUAUUUUUAAAUUUUAGUAAACUACUUACAAAAACUGAACCAGACAAAAAUAAUUCAAGAAGCUAGAAAUAUGACAACAUGGUGCAAUAGGAAAUCCUUGAAUAAAAAAUAUAUAUAUGUAUAUAUACACCAUAAAAUAUAGAAUGGUAUAUUCUGUAUCAUUCUAUAUUCCUUUUCUAAAGCAUCAUUAUUAUUAUUUGAGAUGAGGGGGAGAUCUAACCAUGUUGCCUGGGCUGGUCUUGAACCCCUGUCCUCAAGCAAUCUUCCUUCCUCAGCCUCCUGAGUAGUUGGGAUUACAGACACAUACCACUAUGCCCACCUUAAAGCUUGCUUGCUUGCUUGCUUGCUUUUUUUUUUUUUUUUUUUUGAGACAGGAUCUUGCUCUGUUGCUCAGGUUGGAGUGAAGUGGCACGAUCUCAGCUCACUGCAACACUCCAGCCUGAGCAACAGAGCAGACUCCAUCUUGGGGAAAGAAAGAAAAAAAAAAAGAACUAUACAUCUACCAAAAGCUUCAGUUAAAUGUUUGGGUAUAUUGAAAACACACUGGAUAUAAAUUUGAAACCACUGUUAAACGUGUGACAGGAAAAUCGAGUUGAGACUGCCAUGCCCGUGUCAACUGACCAUGGGUUCUUGGGCUCUCAAUGCAAUAGAACAUUGACAUGAGGCCAAAAGAGUUUUCUCAAAGCUUCACUGGAGCUUUUGUCCAGCCAUAAGGGAGGCAGAACGAGAGAGAAAGAGAGAUAGAGAGAGACAGAGAGAGAGAGAGAGAGAGUAUUCCCUGACAGACUCCACCUAUAAAAGAACAGGUAGGACUUUUUUAUUAGGCAAAGUACAGAACUGACAUCAGAAGUAGAGUGUACACAGGCUGGGCAAGGCAAACAAUGUGAGGGGUAGGGUAGCAGGUCAGCAUAUCCAGUUGUGAUGGUUAUCUUGAGUAAUGGGCCACCUGGUAGUCUGGCCUGUGACAACAAGACUAUAAAUCAAUUGUCCAGCAGCAUUCCUUUCUGAGGUGGGACACUCUGCAACCUUGGUUAGCUCCUAAAGCCAGUUCCUGGAAUUCUUUAAGUAAAAAGACUAUUAGCAGCGAGGUAAUGGUGUGGGUUUUGUGAUGUGUGGGAAUGCUCUAAUGGGGGUGAACCAAAGCCAGGCUCUGUCUCUACUGUGUCUCACCAGUAAAAACACAAUUACAAACAGCAUGCAAUGCUCUUUUUUGUGAUGAUGGUUAAUAAAGAAUACACAUUCUAAAAU
ensembl:lncRNA TMCC1-DT TMCC1 divergent transcript